rnacentral:tRNA from 1 species
CGGGGUAUAGCGCAGUCUGGUAGCGCGCCUGCUUUGGGAGCAGGAUGUCGGGAGUUUGACAAAAUCGCCGGGAGCGAUUUUGAACGCACGAAGUGCGGCCCGCAGGGCGGAGGGCAGGAAGCCCGGAGUAAUCUCUCUACCCUGC